AUGAUGAUAUCGAACACCUUCAACCUCAUCUUGGGCUUCAUUGCGCUGGUGGUGGAGGUGAUGAAGACAGCCUUGGGGCCUGCCUCUACUGCCCACUCUCAGCCGGCAGGCUUGCUGGUGCUCGAACUCAGCGCUGAGGCCUUCACCACAGGAGGAGUGCUGAUCUCAGCAUAUGCCCUACUGUUGCUGAACCAGAGAAAGCCAGGAUGCUUCAGGAACCAGAGUCUGCACUACCAGGAGCUGCAGGAGGUAUUGGGGACAGGCAGGAGAACAUGGAGCAGCUACUAGCUAUUUUUUCCACUAGCAAUCUGUAAGGAAGACAGUGGGGCGGGAGGCAGAUUAAGAAGACCUAGAUUGAAACUGGUUUUCUGGCUUUGGACAUUUCUACUCUAAUGGUGGGUAAAAGGGGAUUGGGUAUCCAAAUGAUUGGGACCAGAAGAAUAGGUACGUAUAGGAAGCUGUGUAUAUUGGUAAGGCUUUGAGAAAAAAUGGGGGAGGAGAAAGGUGGGGUUUUUUUUGGGGGGGGGUACCAGGGAUCGAAUUCGGGUCCUUGAGCUUGCGCAGCAGGCAGCAAAACCACUGAGCUAAAUCCCCGGCCCAGGUGGGGGUUUUUUGUGGGUUUUUUUGGUACCGGGGAUCCAACUCGGGUCCUUGCGCUUGCGAGGCAAGUGGCAGAACCACUGAGCUAAAUCCCCGGCCCUGGAGAAACCUAUUUUUCUUUGGAGUUUCUCCUUUCUCAUCCCUAUAGCUGGCUCUCUCCUCUGUCUGGUUUUCAGGGCCUCUCAGAGGUGGAGGAGGUUCCCAGUUUGGAGAAUGGUCCCAAUGCAGCCAGCAUAGAAAAUGGAACAAACGAGUGUGCCAGCGAGGGGAAGCAGACAGAUGCUACUGCCCUUCAACCCUAAAGGUCCACUGCCCAGAUGCUCUGCUUCUCACCCCACCAAACUCAGAAGCUAACCAGACUCCCUGGCACAUGCAUAAUGUCCUCUUCCCUUCUGCGCUGCAUAAACAUAUACCAAGGCGAGAGACCUCCUUCCCAUUCUUAUCUUCCUUUCCCACUGCCUCUUCGCACAGCUUCAUUUCUGCCUCAUCUCGCUGUCUUUCCGUCCAUCAUUCACAAUUUCAUUCGCUCCAGGUCCGGAUUCCUACACACACCAACCCUGCAUCCACAUCCCUUCGACCCAGGUCCUGGUUAGACUAGCAGAGACUAUAAGUCCCAGGAUGCCCAGCUACCCCGUGGCCUGCUGGGAAAUAAAGAGCCUUCCCUUCCCUUCCCUCCGAGGCGGGGGAGCUGUGCAUCUGCUGAGUGACGCGAGGAGCUGGAAGUCAGGUCCUCACCGAGGAUCCUCGGACGCGACCACUGGCCCGCGUGGGGGGAGGAGGCGGGCGGGCAGCCCCGCACAGGGGCGCCAACACCGCAACCUUGAAACGUACGGCUGACUCUGCCCCACACCACUCUGGCCAGCAGCUUCGGAGCCGGCGAGGGCUGGGGGCUGGCGCUUGGCAGAACUGGCGACCCAGGGGCAGGCGCCGCGCCCCCUCGCACGAGUGCCCAGGUCCAAGGUCCUGAGACUUGGAGCGCGCGCGAGAAAGGGGUUGGAGAUGAUGACUCAGAAUCGCGGGGCCUUACUCGUUCCCCUCCCCCGUGGCCUGGGCCCGGUGGGCAGGCGAGUGGGCCUGGCAGGCAGGGGGAGGGACGUGGCGACCCGACCUAAGACUUUCCCGCCUCUUGCGAGCAAGCCGGUGUGACGAGCCCGCGUUGCCGCCGCCCUUAACGAGGCGGGAGCGGCACUGCGCAGGCUCACCCUCUCGGCAGCUCCGGGAACCUUUGAUCCCUGGCUGCGGUCCGGUUGCUGAAGCUCAGGUUGCACUCAACCCCCCACCAUUUAUGACCUUUGCAAAUGUAGGAAGAUGACGAGUUCGGGUGGGCUUGGGGAAAGCCCAGGAAAACUGGGAGUCCCAAUAGCACCAGCCGGGCAGAAAUUAGAAAUUGACCAGAGCUGGAGUACUAAGAGAACUCACCCCAAAUUCACAUAGUGCCCAGGAUGGGUGUUCGCCUCACACUGAUUUUUGUUCUCACUUGAGAAGGCUUCUUUCCCUNNNNNNNNNNNNNNNNNNNCCUAGAGAAUGCUGCUGCUCCAGGCUCAGCCAAGCCCAGGCACCAAUGAGGGUAGAGUGCAGCCUGGCUGCCUUGCCUUGCCACUGCAGUGGCGCCAGUGCACCUCCUUUUUGCUGUGACACCUUGGGAGUGGUAAAAGUCGCCCUAUGACAAAGUUAAGUGCGAGUACGAGUGGGUGGGGACAGUUCUGGGAUCAGGCUCCGGAAUGGAGAAGACAAAAUCUGAGCCGCCUCCUUUUCCUCCCCUAAUCUAACUGCCAAGAUAAUGGAGAGCUCAUGUGUAAAAGACUCUGAGGAAAGAGUACUGUAAUUUUCUUCAGAGUCAGGUGGUGGUAGUAGAUGAGGAAGCUGGGGAGAGAAAUAAACAAUUUGCUUUGUCUUCCGGGUUUUAGUGAUGAGAUCAGAAGUCUAGAUACCGGGUUCUAUUUCUUAAACGCAGUGCCCAUACAAAUGGACCUUGUAGCCCUCAGGUUAGGCUAGGUUAUACUGUGGUAACUGCUAAAACCUUAGUGAUUUACAACCACUUAACAUAGGUUUAGUUCUGGCUCUGCUCAUUCUGUUACUCAGAUACCAAAUCUGAUGAAUCUCACUAUUUUGAGGUCCUAUUGUGUCAUCAUGAGGCUUAAGGUUACCUCCUUCAGAAUGUAGAGCAAGCAGGAAGAAUUUGUCCCCCGAAGGGACAUGUGUUACUUGGUCAAAGCAAGUCAUAUAGCCACACUCAAGUUCAACGAAGUAGGUAAGGCAGUCUUCAUAUAUGUAGAAGGAGAGGAGAAGCAGAAAUACUUCAAUUAAAAGAAAAAGGGUUAGUCAUUUGAUAAUUCUUUGACAGCUUAGUUUCUACCAAAAGCUACCUUCUAGAAGGUAGGUUCACUUCUGUUUCUUUGGUUUGGUUCUGUGAGGCCCUAAGUAAAAUUAUUAAUAGAAAUUAUUCCUCAAAAAGCAACAGGACUGGGUGUCAAGAAAUCUAGAUUCUGAUUCUGUUAUUUGGGCAACUCAAAUCUCUCUGAACUACCUUUUGCUCACCUGAAGGUUAUACUCAUAUAUUUGUCCUCUUAUUGGAAUGUCAAAGCUAAAAUAAAAUCACGAGGAAAAGUACUUUAAAACUAUGAGGCACUCAGGUGUUGAAAAUAAAUUGUUUACAAAAGGAAUGGUUUGAAUAAGUGAAGCAGAUUGGGUAUAAGGUAAUAGGGAAUGGUGAGACGUGUAGUAAACUAGAGAAGACGUGUUCUAUUUAAGUGAAUAUUAUCAUUCAGCUCCACCAAUUGUUGCAGUGUGGGACUGUGAACCUGGUGGUGCCAUAGCUUUAAAUUUCUAUAGAAGUAAAAAAUUCUGGCUUUUAAAAUGUGAAAUUUUCUAAUUUUAAAAUAAUUUUAAUUUUGGGUUUUGGGUUUUUGAGACAAGUCUCACUGUUUAGCUCAGUGUGGCCUUGAGCUCACUAUGUAACUCUGGCUGGCCUCAUGCCGAUCCGCCUGUUUCUCAAGUGCUGGGAUUACAGGCAUGCACCACCACGCCUAGCUAUAACAAAAUUUUUUAAACUCAAGGGCCAGAUUCAGCCUAUACUCCUUCAGUUGCCAGUCUACACAUUACACAAAUAGACACCUGGGCACUGUGGCCUGUGCCUGUCAUCCCAGCUACUCAGGAAACAUUGCUUGAUGAGAAGAUAGCAAAGUCAAGACCAUCCUGGGCAGCAUGGCCAGACUCCAUCUCCAACAACAACAACAAAAGAACAAAAACGGGUCUGUUGCACGUCUGAAAUCCCAGCUUUUAGGGAGGCUGAGAUGGGAGGAUUGCAAGUUCAGGGUCAGGCUGGGUAAUGAAGUACGAUCUGGUCUCAAGAUAAAAAAUUAUAAACCGCUAGGGAUGUAGCUCAGUGAAAGAGUGCUUCCUUACCAUGUACAAGGCUCUUGCUUCUAUCUCCAGUACUGCAAAUAAUAAUAAAAUAAACAAUUUAAAACCCACAUGGUAGGAUUUCACGUUUUGGAUGUACAAUACAGUUCAUGUAGACUUUGUGAAAUCCAAGAGUCUUGGAGGGAUUGAACAUGGAGUUCUUGGUUUUCAGGGAAGGGUCAUUUUGCCCUCCAGAGGAUAUUUUGCAAUGUCAGAGACAUUUGGCUAAUCACAACUCAAGAGGAGAAGGAAGGGCAAGGGGAUAUGUAAUGGCAGAAUUAGAUGAGAAGUGAGAAGAUUUGGGAUUUAGCCUCCUUGCUAAUAAUGCUCCUUUCCUGCACAUAACCCUCUGGCAGCUGCAAGAGGGGACAGAGACUUGUCCUGUGUUGAUCGGUGUCUCCCAUCCACGCUGAUUCCUGCCAGAUCCCUGGCUGCUCCCUGACAGCGUUCAGCUUUGCUGCAAGGCACCCCAGCAACCACUGUUUCUUCUCCAUUCUUCAUCAGCUUGGCAGCCUCUGUGGCGGUCACUCAUUUCACUUGAAUUAGAGCUGCACAGAAAGAGGGGACUGUGACAAGGCUCCUGCUGACGUCAGUUUUUAAAGGCCACGACCCCUAUCUCUUGCUGUUAGGCCCUGGAGAUAUAACCGUGCUAUUUGGCUUCCUUCGUGGGCAGCUGAACUCUGUGGUGGUUGGAAAAAACCCCAUACUGAUGAAUUUCACCUUCAAUUCUUUGAGAUUCAGUCAUUUAUUUUGGCUUUGGAUACGUGUUUAUAAACAACUGACGAUGUUUUCCAAAUGAAUUCUCUUCCGUUUCUCGACCUGCUUUUUUGCAAGAUGGCUCAGGUUUUUGUGUCCAAGGGUGUGUCCUCUGCUGCCAUCUCGUGGCCUCUUGACGGCGUGGAUCGACGUC
rnacentral:lncRNA from 1 species